rnacentral:piRNA from 1 species
CUUUUCUUCCCAGGCUGCUUUGGUC